CACCGAGACUCCCGCACUGCGUAUGCGCAGUGGCUCGAACCGAACAGCGGGAGCAGCAGGAUUGCGCUAGGGGCAGCGUAGCGGAUGUGUCCCGCCCCCCCCCCCCCCCCCCGCCGUGCCGGUCCCCAGCUUCCUGGGGGGAGGGAAGGGAAAGUGCAGCCCCGGCUCCUGGGAAUUUACUUUAAAAAACCAAAAAGGGGAAAAUGCACCAUGGGAACGGUCCUCAGAAUGUUCAGCAUCAGCUCCAGAGGUCCAGAUCCUUCACAGGUAGUGAGGGAGAAGAGCAGCAGACAAACUUACCGCAGUCCCCUGCAACUUCAUUUGCUCCUUCUGCAAGCCCAUCUGCACCACAGUCCCCCAGUUACCAAAUACAGCAAUUUAUAAUGAGUAGAAGUCCGGUAGCUGGGCAGAAUGUGAACAUCACACUGCAGAAUGUUGGACCGGUAGCAUCAGGAAACCAACAGAUAACACUUACCCCUUUGCCAAUCCCAAAUCCAACAUCACCCAAUUUUCAGUUUAGCCCUCAGCAAAGGAGGUUUGAGCAUGGAUCUCCAUCGUAUAUUCAAGUUACUUCCCCAUUGCCCCAGCAGGUUCAGUCUCAAAGCCCUACACAACCCAGUCCUGUACCAGUGCAGUCACUACCAAAUGUUCGGGCAGGUACUCCAGGUUCUGGCUUGGGCAUAUGCAGCCAGAGCCCUACUAGAGGAUUUGUAGAUGCUAGUUUGCUUGUGCGACAGAUCAGUCUGAGCCCUUCAAAUGGUGGACACUUCGUAUAUCAAGAAGGAUCCGGAAUUGCACAAAUUGCUCAAGGAACUACAGCCCAGGUACAAAUUCCAUCUUCUGGGGCACCUGCAACUGUACGAGAACGCUGGCUUUCACAACCUCAUUCACAGACUGGUGGCACCAUUCAUCAUCUUGGACCUCAAAGUCCUGUAGCUAGUGGAGCAAACAUGCAACCUUUGACUAGCCCCGGUCAUAUUACAACUACUAACCUGCCACCGCAGAUCAGCAAUAUUAUUCAAGGGCAGCUCAUGCAGCAGCAGCAAGCACUUCAAGGGCAGUAGUUGAGCAGACCCAUAGGAUUUGAUAGGGCUUCUGGUGGAUUAAUAGCUGGAGUUGGAGGACCCAACUCCGCAGGCCCACUCCGCAGCUUCCCCCCACGCAUGGGAUGGGUGCAGAGCGGAGGGGAGCCCAGCACCUCCCACUCUGGCACCCCCGGCGGGGACCCACUUACCCCAGGAGCUGGGGCCACACACUGUCACCAGGGAUGGGGGAAAAUACAUCUCUUACGGGCGCUGAUAGGAGACAAACCGCGAGUUCCGUUCCUGUACUGUGACUCCCUCACUGCGUAUGCGCAAUGGCUCAAACCAAACAGUGGGAGCAGGUCGCCCCAUACGCGUGUCCUCUCUUUGGCAUACUAGGGAGGACAGCCAGGGACCAGGACCCUCAUCCUUGCUAAUCAUAUCACCCGCUCAGAGUGACUGGAGUGAGAGAGCAGGGCAGGGACACAACACAGAGAGCAGUGGGGCGGGAGAGGAUCCCCUCAGGAUGGAGCUCAGCGUAGGGCACAUUAGCAAGCCCUGGGAGACUUUCUACACAGACCCCAUACCCACCCUCCAGAGGCAUUUAAAGCAGGGCCACCCAAGCUGUGUGCUGGGAAUGUCCACAGGGGGUCAGAGGGGAAAGAAUCUUAACCCAGGCCACACACUUUGUUAACAGCAUACAUGGGAACGAGACAUGCACAGAGGUGAAAGUUAGCUGGUACAGUCCAGUACGGCGUACUGGCAAAAGCCAGUAUGCCGUGCCAGACCAGACCGGCUUCCCCGGUGGUGAUUUAAAGGGCCCGGUGCUCCUGCCACUGCGGGGAGCCCUGGGCCCUUUAAAUCACCUCCGGAGCUCCAGCAGCGGGACUUUAAAGGGCCUGGGGCUCCCUGCAGUGGCAGGAGCACCGGGCCCUUUAAAUCCCCACCUGAGCCUGACUGCCGGAGUCCCAGGGCUCCGGCAGGGAUUUAAAGGGCCCGGAGCUCUGCAGCAGCCAGAGCCCCAGGCCCUUAAAUUUGCUCUGGGGCUCUCAGCCGCCUCUGCAGUUAGUAGCUCCGGUGUGAUUUAAAGGCCCCAGGGCUCCCAGACAGAGCCCCGGGGCCUUUAAAUCACCUCUUCCGGUUGAGGCCACGCCCCCUUUAAGUUACUUUCACCCCUGGACAUGCACAAAGAAACAGGACAGAAAGAAGGCAAUUUAUAUAAAAAGAAAGGACACUUUAUUGUUCAACUUACACUCAGUUUAGGCAGUAUGUCAGUGCUCAGUGAUUUCCUACUUUACAGCGCUAAAGAUUCAUCUAAAAAUUUAGUUUACAUUUUGUUUCCAUACACCUAACAGGACACCUAUUCAGUUCAGUAGAUCUAACAAAAAAAAGCCAGCAGUUUUCAUUGUUAUGCAUUCCAUUUAGUGCAACACUCCACAAGUAAAAUGUACUUCUGUUUAAAGAAUAACUGGCUAUUAUUUGAUAUUGUUCUUGAGACAAUAGCCUAGCAAUAUGAUGAACAUGUUGAUUACACCUCUGUCUCUGUAAUUUAGUUAUUCACUGCUUUGGUACAGAAAGAUGGUUAUUUUCUGUCAGCAGAAAGCAUUUCAUUUUAACAGACCUUUUAUCUGUACAUUACAAUUAAUAUAUUUUCAAUGUUGGGUACAUUUUUCUUUUUUCAGAUUUCAGUAAUAACUUCUCUUGCAUUUAUGUCUGUAAAAAAGUGCUCAGUCUUCAUUUGGAAAAUAAAAUGUGGACAACCUGCG